rnacentral:lncRNA from 1 species
UCAAAAGUUUUAGCAAUUAUUUAAUAAUUUAAACUAAUUUAAAAAUAAAUAAUUUUGUUUUAAUUGAUUAAUAAAACCAUUGUCAACAUAAUUUGUAACAAUUUCAUGCUGAUUAUUAAACAUUUUGAGAGCAAAUCGUCAUCUCAAGGUCGUCGGAGCUAAGAAUGCAAAAUAAUCCAAACGGCAACCGCUGUUUGUGUGUAAACAUGGCGUUAUACUACACAAACGGUGUCCGUAAAAAACUGGAAAAAUUGAGGUUGAAAAAAAUGACGAAAGUCGUGAUGCCAGUGGUCAAAAAAUAAUGUUAGCAGGUACUGAUGUCAUUUAUUAAACACAGUCAUUAGCACUAGGAGUCCAAGACUAAAAGUAAAAAAAAUAAUUACAAUGGUGUGUCAUUGGAGCCAAAACCAUCUGAAAAACAUAAAUGAUUCGUGAAUCUAUUCAGUGUCAAAGACUUCGUCAACAGUGUGACACAAAAUUAAUUAUCAGUGAUGAAAAAAAUUGAAGAAGAGUACUGCUCCAAUUGUAACUGAAACAACUGCGACAUGAUUUUAAUAAAAAAAUAAACCAGGAUAAUGCUGAUGAUGCUGAAGGUGUAUAAUGAGAUGGCAUGUGAAUAUUCGACUUGCUAGUGAUGGAAUCAUUGUAGACAACGUGGUGAUAAUUUCAACAGCUACGUGGAAUGAUGGCAUGUGAAUAUUCAACUUGCUGGUGAUGGAAUCAUUGUAGACAACGUGGUAACCAUUUCAACAGCUUCGUGGGAUGAUGAACAUCCGCUAAAAAGAUGGAAUUGCAUAAUUGUUGCAGCAUCAACUGCAGUAAGGAUGAUAUGGAUUUCAAUGAGAGCAGCAGCAGAUGACAUCAAUCAAGAAAUCCCAUCAUCAACUACAGUAAGGCUGUACCAUCAUACGAUGAAACAAUAUGCAUUGUUAAAAAAAGUUUCAAAGAAGCUGAAAAAUGUCAACAUGUUAUAGGAAAUGAUCAACACUUUGCAGCAAGAUAUCCA